rnacentral:rRNA from 1 species
GACGAACGCUGGCGGUGUGCUUAACACAUGCAAGUCGAACGGAAAGGCCCUGCUUUUGUGGGGUGCUCGAGUGGCGAACGGGUGAGUAACACGUGAGUAACCUGCCCUUGACUUUGGGAUAACUUCAGGAAACUGGGGCUAAUACCGGAUAGGAGCUCCUGCUGCAUGGUGGGGGUUGGAAAGUUUCGGCGGUUGGGGAUGGACUCGCGGCUUAUCAGCUUGUUGGUGGGGUAGUGGCUUACCAAGGCUUUGACGGGUAGCCGGCCUGAGAGGGUGACCGGCCACAUUGGGACUGAGAUACGGCCCAGAAUCCUACGGGAGGCAGCAGUGGGGAAUAUUGCACAAUGGGCGGAAGCCUGAUGCAGCAACGCCGCGUGCGGGAUGACGGCCUUCGGGUUGUAAACCGCUUUCGCCUGUGACGAAGCGUGAGUGACGGUAAUGGGUAAAGAAGCACCGGCUAACUACGUG